AUUGAACGCUGGCGGCAGGCCUAACACAUGCAAGUCGAGCGGAGCGGCGGACGGGUGAGUAAUGCCUAGGAAUCUGCCGCGUAGUGGGGGAAAACGUCCGGAAACGGGCGCUAAUACCGCAUACUAUCAGAUGAGCCUAGGUGGGAUUGGCUGGUUGGUGGGGUAAAGGCCUACCACGGCGACGAUCCGUAACUGGUCUGAGAGGAUGAUCAGUCACACUGGAACGUAGACACGGUCCAGAUUCCUACGGGAGGCAGCAGUGGGGAAGAUUGGCCAAUUGGCGAAAGCCUGAUCCAGCCAUGCCGCGUGUAUGAAGAAGGCCUUCGGGUUGUAAAGUACUUUCAGCGGGGAGGCGUUACCCGCAGAAGAAGCACCGGCUAACUCCGUGCCAGCAGCCGCGGUAAUAC
rnacentral:rRNA from 1 species